rnacentral:tRNA from 1 species
GGUUCCGAGGUGCGGUAAGCAUAUUGAAUUGCAAAUUCAAAGGAGCAGCUUCAAUUCUGCCGGGGCCU